GGGCGUGUGGCUCAGUUGGUAGAGCGUUCGCUUAGCAUCUCCAUCUCUUCGAGUCGGUUCUCUGGUGCGAAAGGUCCUGGGUUCGAUUCCCAGCCCGUCCA